ACGGGAGGCAGUAGUGGGGAAUAUUGCACAAUGGGCGCAAGCCUGAUGCAGCGAUGCCGCGUGAGGGAAGAAGGUUUUCGGAUUGUAAACCUCUGUCAACAGGGACGAAAAUGACGGUACCUGUGAAGGAAGCUCCGGCUAACUCCGUGCCAGCAGCCGCGGUAAUACGGAGGAUGCGAGCGUUAUCCGGAUUUAUUGGGUUUAAAGGGUGCGCAGGCGGGCCUUUAAGUCAGCGGUGAAAUCCCGUAGCUCAACUACGGAACUGCCGUUGAUACUGGAGGCCUUGAGUCGUGUCGAGGAUGGCGGAAUGCAGCGUGUAGCGGUGAAAUGCUUAGAUAUGCUGCAGAACUCCGAUUGCGAAGGCAGCUGUCCAGAGACGAACUGACGCUGAGGCACGAAAGCAUGGGUAUCAAACAGGAUUAGAUACCCUGGUA
rnacentral:rRNA from 1 species